rnacentral:rRNA from 1 species
AUUGAACGCUGGCGGCAUGCUUUACACAUGCAAGUCGAACGGCAGCGCGGGCUUCGGCCUGGCGGCGAGUGGCGAACGGGUGAGUAAUGCAUCGGAACGUGCCCAGUAGUGGGGGAUAGCCCGGCGAAAGCCGGAUUAAUACCGCAUACGACCUGAGGGUGAAAGCGGGGGACCGAAAGGCCUCGCGCUAUUGGAGCGGCCGAUGUCGGAUUAGCUAGUUGGUGGGGUAAAGGCUUACCAAGGCGACGAUCCGUAGCUGGUCUGAGAGGACGACCAGCCACACUGGGACUGAGACACGGCCCAGACUCCUACGGGAGGCAGCAGUGGGGAAUUUUGGACAAUGGGGGCAACCCUGAUCCAGCCAUGCCGCGUGCGGGAAGAAGGUCUUCGGGUUGUAAACCGCUUUUGUUCGGGAAGAAAUCCUCUGGGCUAAUACCCCGGGGGGAUGACGGUACCGGAAGAAUAAGCACCGGCUAACUACGUG